UACCCGAGCCUUUUCCCCCCGACGUCGAUUCCCUCCUCUCGAUUUUUUCUGUUUCUCCCCAAAACCGCCACGCGACGGUUCUUUCAUGAGCAUACAAAGCCCUCUCCUCGUCCCCAAGCCGAUCGCCUUUCCCUCGCGAUGCCACUGCCCUAGUCGUCUCCACCGUCACCCUUCUCCCUGCUCGAGCCGUGAUUGCGGCGACGAGAUGAGGCCGAACGCCGGAGCACGAGAGCCUCCCAAUGUCGCUUUACUUCACCGCCGCAUGGAGCAACCUCAUCGUCUUCCCGGUGGUUACCUUCUUCCCUGAUUAGCCGGCCGCACGAGCAGAAUCUCGGCCAAGAGAGGAAAGGUUGAGCCCUAGCACCGGUCAAUUUCCCCUCUGCCCUAGCGUCGGCAGCCAACCCUUUCCUCUGCCCUAGCAACGGCAGCCGACCACCUCCACACCGUGCCCUAAUUCCCGACUCCAGCCUCCAUCGGUUUCAUUGCCUCGACAUCUCUCCUUACUACUAGACGGCUGCCGACAAUCUAAUUCGAGCCAGUGAACCUCAGAUCUUUGCUGUACAGAUCUGAGGUGUCUUAGGUUGGAGGAGAGCCACACCUGUUGGCUUCAACUACAAUAUCCAGCAGUAAACCAUCUUUCCGACAGCGAACCCUUCAGACCCUAUUCCACCAGCAGUCACUUGGCUGUGAAGAAGAGGGUUGAAGUUGGUCGGCGUGGAACGCUCCUUUGCGGAGAAACACUACGUCGACCUCUCCACGAAGCCCUUCUUUGGUUCCCUUGUGGAGUACAUCAUCUCUGGUCCGGUGGUAGCAAUGGUAUGGACGCGAAAGAAUGUGGUGGUCAGACUAUGCAAUUGAGAUUGGCAGGAUUUGUGUGUUGGGCUUCUUAGAUGCGCUACAUAUACAACUUAAAGGCUUUGAUCAUUAAGUCCAUGAUGCUUCCUUCCAACAUGUUGAUAACCAUGCUAAUUGAAGGACGAAUGAUGGACAAAAGUACAGCAGAUGUAGCUUCAGAUGGGUAUCACAAAUAUAAGCUACUUCCUAAGCAAUCGCACAAUUAAAGAGUUAGUUUGACUAUAGAAGAAUCAUACAAGGUAACUUUCAGUAAGAUGAGAUGAUUUAUUAGGAAGAUGUCAAGCUGAUGGCUGAAUUGGGAUUGGACUCCUACAGAUUCUCCAUCUCUUGGUCAAAACUUCUUCCGAAUGGAAGAGGAUUUGUGAAUCCUAAAGGUCUGCAGUUCUACAACAACUUCAUCGAUGAGCUAGUGAAAUAUGGGACUGGAUUGGUCUUACUUCAUCAUUUGAAUUUGCAAAUUUAGCUGGUUUAGUAGAGAAGAUCAUGUGAACUCCUGGAUCUUCUUGGAUGCAAGAACUCUCAUGAAUCAAUGAGUUGUUGAUGCUCUGAACAUUGCUAUUCAUACUUGUGCUAAUGGAGGGGACUUCAGUACUUGCCAUUUUAGGUGCAUCCAUGAGAGAUUUGUCAUUGACCUUGCUUUAUGCACUUUAACAGAUUAUUUCAAAUGUGCAGAUCAAAGAAGAAUAUUUAUGUUGUAAGAAGAAUAUUUAUGUGUUGGUUAUAUGGAUAUUGACUUGGUAUGUUUAGAUA